CACGUAGUUAGCCGGGGCUUCUUAGUCAGGUACCGUCAUUAUCUUUCCUGCUGAUAGAGCUUUACAUACCGAGAUACUUCUUCACUCACGCGGCGUCGCUGCAUCAGGGUUUCCCCCAUUGUGCAAUAUUCCCCACUGCUGCCUCCCGUAGGAGUCUGGGCCGUGUCUCAGUCCCAAUGUGGCCGCUCACCCUCUCAGGCCGGCUACUGAUCGUCGCUUUGGUGGGCCGUUACCCCGCCAACUGGCUAAUCAGACGCGGAUCCAUCGUAUACCACCGGAGUUUUUCACACUGCUCCAUGCGGAGCUGUGCGCUCAUGCGGUAUUAGCACCUAUUUCUAAGUGUUAUCCCCCGGUAUACGGCAGGUUAUCCACGCGUUACUCACUCGUCCGCCACUAACCUGUAUAUCACUAGGUUUCAAUACAGUAUCCGUUCGACUUGCAUGUGUUAGGCACGCCGCCAGCGUUCAUCCUGAGCAGGAUCAAACUCC
rnacentral:rRNA from 1 species